rnacentral:RNase_P_RNA from 1 species
GAAGCUGGCUAGACAGUCGCCGCUCACAUUUAACUUGCCAGUUUACUGGAUUAGUUAAUGAGAGGGGAGGAAAGUCCGGGCUGCAUAGAGCGGGAUGACGGUUAAUGGCCGUCCGUUGAAAGCCGCAAGGUAUAAGGCGAGGAAUAGGGCCACAGAGACGAGCGUAUUAAGUUACGGUGAAACGCGGUAACCUCCAUUCGCAGCAAGACCAAAUAGGCUGGUAUUGGCGUGGCUCGCGCUGCCAGCGGGUAGGUUGCUUGAGCGUGCAAGUAAUUGUACGCCUAGAUGAAUGACUGUCAUGCGUUGCAAAACGCAAACAGAACCCGGCUUAUCGGCCAGCUUCACUC